GGGGGGGGGGGGGGGGGGGGGGGGGGCGGGGGGGGGGGGGGGGGCGGGCGGGGUGGGGGGGGGGUCGCGGGUGGCGGAGGGGUGGGUCGCCGGGGAGUGACGUGCGCUUGGGUUGGGGAUCACUUCAUGCAGGGGUGUCUCCUUCCUGCUCGGCGCUCCGGCUUCAUGGUGUUGUGUGGAGCGUGUCGGCGGGUUGUGAUUGACUCGCGGCGUCUCAGCUUGUUCGGGGGGUAGUGUCUGACCCAGGCUUUGACGGGUAGCCGGCCUGAGAGGGUGACCGGCCACAUUGGGACUGAGAUACGGCCCAGACUCCUACGGGAGGCAGCAGUGGGGAAUAUUGUACAAUGGGCGGAAGCCUGAUGCAGCAACGCCGCGUGCGGGAUGACGGCCUUCGGGUUGUAAACCGCUUUCGCCUGUGACGAAGCGUGAGUGACGGUAAUGGGUAAAGAAGCACCGGCUAACUACGUG
rnacentral:rRNA from 1 species